rnacentral:lncRNA from 1 species
AAAUAUGUCAAUCAUCAAUAACAAACACAACUUUACCUCAUUUAACUGCCAAUGCUAUAAGCAGCAUGAUGAAUAAAAUGAUAUUUUAUAACAAAAAACAAAAACAAAGUGGGAGAUUCUGAAGCUAUCAUCUCCGAGGGUACUUCUUACAUAUAGACAGAAAAUUCAUAUAGCUCAAAUUUCAUUAUUUUUCUUUAUCAAUAUAUUUUCUGAUUAAUAAUGUCCUGAUCAUGGAAAGGAAAAAUUGUUACUAAUUAAUCACUGC